AUCCCUUCCCCAGAGGCACUGGAUUACUGUCAGGUGCUGUGAAGCUGUCUCUGCUCCAAGUCCUGGCCCAUAGAAUCUUCUCAUAGGGUUCCUCGGAAUGACACCCUUGGCCUCCAGUGUGUGUUAAGUGGUGUUCCUGGGUUGAAGUAAUAAACGAACUUGGUAAUGGAGGAAAACCGUAGACCUGAUAUGGCAAGACAAGCUACCAGAAGGAUAUUCCAGGCAGAGAAACUACUCUCACAAGUAUUUAGUUGUGCUAUGCACCUGCUCAAGAAUAACAGCAGCUUGGGUCAUCAACAGAGCUCUCCAAUACAGUUGCUUCAAGAUACAGACA